UCCUACGAAUUCAAUGAAUCAAAGACAAUUUUUAGGCUGCAACUGGUCGAGUGGAUAACCCGGUCCGUAGCAAAAAGUAGUUGGAUGAUAAAUACAUCUGACUUUAGCGGUGUAAUUAGUGCAUCAGCAUAGAGCAGGAAACAUGACCGCUGUUAACAGUGUUCAGGUUAUGGCUUUUCUUCUGUUCGGCAUGUUUCUAUUCGGUGUCCUAAUGUUCCCAGCAAUUGAGGCAUGUCCACUAUAUUGCUAUGAAGUAGAAUCCAUGACUUGCAACGGCACAAAAGUCAAUCCACCGCGUUGCAACUGUUGCCUGGCCGGAAAGGGCUGUACCCUUCACCUUGCCAAUGGAGUGUCAAUAUAUUGUUAACUAGUAAACGAGCUUGCUAAUGUUGUGGCUUAAGUAGCAUGCCUAAAUAAUCAAAAUAUUUCUGAAGUUGUGUACAAUCUUAUGGACUACGGUGUAUUGAAUAAAUUUGGUCAAUAAAGUCUAUUUAAGUUACAAGAAAUUUUGAUUAUUCAUGUUUGCAUAAUCCUGAAAAAUUUUAAAAGAACGUUUUGGAAGGUAAAUAAAGAUUUGCUCUUGAAAAAGUAAAACAUUGAACUAAGAAGUUACUUUUUCAUUUUUCUAGCAAGAAACGGUGGGGAAUUGCUACAAAGAAAAAAAACUGAGGACGUGGUUGUUCUCUUUUAAUAUUUUGGAUCCCAUCAGUAAUUUUCUCCUCCAAAAAGCAUAGACCAAUAUAAUAUUGUCAAAGUGAAAAUAGUAAAAAAAAAAUAAUAAUAAUAAAUAAAUAAAUAAGCGAGUCCACUGUGGUGUGAACUUAGUUCAUUUAUGCUGCAGCCUUGUAGAAUUACCUCAUAAAAAUAUUAUUGCAGGUUUGUCAAAAACUCUUGCUGAAUCUUAAGUAUCCCUUUAAACAUCCUUAUCAAUCUUAAUGGAUUAUUUUAAUUUCUAGUUUUGAAUUUCGAUCAAGUUGACUUUGAAUAGGCACCGGGUCCUCUUUUUGUUUAAAUAUAUUUGUAACGUGUCAUUCAUGUGUAGACUAGAUUCAUUUUUAAAUAAGGUGUAACAUGUAUAAAAUUUUCACAAAUAAGUAAUGGUGAGACUUGAACUUGGAACAUUUAUUUAUAAACGUAUCCUGUUAAAAGCUUUCAAAUGAGGUUUCAUUUGAAAGAGAACAUCGAUAUCAUGUUUACGUUUUGCUGCUAUUCAUUAAUGAAAAUUGUGAGUAUACCGAACCUUUAAUAUCUUAAACUGGGCUAAGAAGACUAUAAACUUUAUUUAAUAAUUAGAUCAUUUUUAGUUGCUUGUUUUGAAUGUUAAGAGGAUUGGAUUUUGACUAGACACCAUCUAUUAGAUAUCUUUACAUAUUAUUUUUUACUAAGUAUGUUAUAAUAUCAUUAUAAAUAGUAUAAGCUGGGCUUGUUUCAGGGAUAUAGCAUAACUAAGAGUUAAGGAAGCAUGGCUGGUAUCAGGGUGGGGUUUGUGACUCUUUGUUUCUGCGGUAUGCCCUUAGGAACAUUGCAUUCUAAAAGUAGGUUUUACAAAAGUUCAACACUUCACCAAUUAUAGAACUUGUUUGUUCUAAAGUAGGUACCCUUGUCUCUAGCAGAUUACUUGUCUUCAUAAUUCAUAUACAAAAAAU